ensembl:lncRNA
CUUAAGAAAAAAAGAUUAUUUUUAAAACCAAAGGAAAACCUGGAGUCAAAAUGGAUUUUAAUGAAGAAACAUUUUAUAUCUUUUGACCAACAGUUAUCACAGUUAUCUUGAAGAGUAUAUUACACCUAGAAGACUAAUAUAUCCUUGUUAAAUAUUCUUAGGCUAAAAUCUAGGUUUAAAUUAUAGCUCUACACUCAGAAAGGAUAAAAACAAAAUCAUCCAUUCCAAAGAAUAAGAAAAUUCACUCAUUUUUCUUCCCUCCCCCCUCCCUUUCUUUCAUCUAUCCUUCCUUCUUUCCCACAUUUUUAUUCCUCCCCAAAAUGUGAGUGCCUAUUAUUUAGCAAACACUGAGUAGGGUGCUGAGGUGAUAGAAAUAAAGAAAAUAGAUAUCUUGUCUCUAGGAAAUCAGUUGCAAAAGGCAAGCUAAAACAUAGGAAAUUGGUACAACAUAGUAUACACUACAAUAGAGGUUUAAUCAAAGUAUAAUGAGAACCCAAUAUCUAGGAUCUAUUAAUCUUCCAGGAAGGAUCAGAAAAGGCUUCCGAGGAAACAUGAGAAUUUAGCUGGAUCAUGAAAUUUGAAUGAGAUGUUUCCAAGUUACACCUACCCCCAAGUUUCAUCCAUAUGCCACCAGGGUUUAAGGAAAGAAAGAAGAAACAGAGGUCAUUUCAGGAGUAAGAUGAUAAAUGACCAAGUAAAGUCUCCUCCUCCUCCUCACCAACACAAGGCAAUGAGCCGCUCUCUCCCAGGGAAAACAAGUGCACAGAACACCCAGAUGCUGAAAAACCUUUAAGUAAGUUGAAUGAACGGUAAAGCAUGGAUGAAGGCCAGUCAGAUAUAGGGAGGAAGUAACAGAGAAACAGAUACCAGGCCACUAGGCUGUGUCAGUGCUCAGUUAACAAUUCUUUGUCCCAGAAAUUUUUGAGUCCUAUCUACUCGAAAUGAAGGCAAAGGAAAAGAUUUCUGGAUGUCUCAAAAUUGUCAUUAGUCUUUCUUCUUUCCUGUGAGAAUGGGUUCCCCUGAUUGGCUUUUUUCCCCUUUUGUUUCUUUUUUUAUGAUUUCAGGAAUAGAAUUUAGUGAUUCAUCACUUACAUAUAACACCCAAUGUUCAUCCCAACAAGUGCACACCUUAAUGCCCAUUUCCCAUUUAUCCAUCCCCCAUGCAAUACUCCAUCAUUAACCCUCAGUUUGUUCUCUGUAUUUAAGAGUCUCUACUGGUUUGUCUUCCUCUCUGUUUUUGUCUUAUUUUUGCUUCCCUUCCACCAUGUUCAUCUGUUUUGUAUCUUAAAUUCCACAUAUGAGUGAAAUCAUAUGAUAUUUGUCUUUCUCUGACUGACUUAUUUCACAUAGCAUAAUAUACUGAAGUUCCAUCCCCUGAUUGGCUCUUUUGUACCAGACAGCUCUGUCCUACCACUAUCAGCCCUAUCACUCUGGUGUCUAUUGGGGGCUGCUGUUAGAUUUGACUAGGGAGACAAAAACCAAAUAGGAGAUGCCAAAUGGGGUUCUGAGAUGCCUCUGUGGAGCCCAACUGCUUCUGAACUCAACACUUUGCUCCCAAUCAACUCCCACCCACUGACAAUUUCCUCUUUCCCUCUUCCAACUAGAGCCAUGAAAAGACCUCAGGUCAGGUCAGCACAUUUCUGCCCUUGAACUAAGAUAGAGUUAGUCAUCUACAAACUGCUUUACCAGACCCUGCUCUUGCCCAAAACGAAAAUCUCCCUCUGCCUUUCCUCUGCUCUUCUCUCAGAUUUCAUCAACCAUUUUGCUUUCAUCCUUCUAUUAAUAAAAACCCAGACCUCCUCCUUUUCCUUUAGCA